CAGCAGCCGCGGUAAUACGUAGGUGGCAAGCGUUGUCCGGAAUUAUUGGGCGUAAAGGGCUCGCAGGCGGUUUCCUAAGUCUGAUGUGAAAGCCCCCGGCUCAACCGGGGAGGGUCAUUGGAAACUGGGAAACUUGAGUGCAGAAGAGGAGAGUGGAAUUCCACGUGUAGCGGUGAAAUGCGUAGAGAUGUGGAGGAACACCAGUGGCGAAGGCGACUCUCUGGUCUGUAACUGACGCUCAUGCACGAAAGCGUGGGGAGCAAACAGGAUUAGAUACCCCGGUAGUCCCUGUCUCUUAUAC
rnacentral:rRNA from 1 species